GAUGAACGCUGGCGGCGUGCCUAAUACAUGCAAGUCGAGCGAACAGACGAGGAGCUUGCUCCUCUGACGUUAGCGGCGGACGGGUGAGUAACACGUGGAUAACCUACCUAUAAGACUGGGAUAACUUCGGGAAACCGGAUCUAAUACCGGAUAACAUGUUGAACCUCAUGGUUCAACAGUCAACGACGUUCUUGCUGUCACUUAUAGAUGGAUCCGCGUCGCAUUAGCUAGUUGGUAAGGUAACGGCUUACCAAGGCAACGAUGCGUAGCCGACCUGAGAGGGUGAUCGGCCACACUGGAACUGAGACACGGUCCAGACUCCUACGGGAGGCAGCAGUAGGGAAUCUUCCGCAAUGGGCGAAAGCCUGACGGAGCAACGCCGCGUGAGUGAAGAAGGUCUUCGGAUCGUAAAACUCUGUUAGUAGGGAAGAAGAAAUGUGUAAGUAACUAUGCACGUCUUGACGGUACCAAAUCAGAAAGCCACGGCUAACUACGUG
rnacentral:rRNA from 1 species